UACGUAGGGUGCGAGCGUUAAUCGGAAUUACUGGGCGUAAAGCGUGCGCAGGUGGUUGUGCAAGACAGAUGUGAAAUCCCCGGGCUUAACCUGGGAAUGGCAUUUGUGACUGCACGGCUAGAGUGUGUCAGAGGGGGGUAGAAUUCCACGUGUAGCAGUGAAAUGCGUAGAUAUGUGGAGGAAUACCGAUGGCGAAGGCAGCCCCCUGGGAUAACACUGACGCUCAUGCACGAAAGCGUGGGGAGCAAACAGG
rnacentral:rRNA from 1 species